GCUUGUCUCAAAGAUUAAGCCAUGCAUGUCUAAGUAUAAAUAUCUAUACUGUGAAACUGCGUAUGGCUCAUUAAAUCAGUUAUAGUUUAUUUGAUGAUACCCCACUACAUGGAUAACCGUAGUAAUUCUAGAGCUAAUACAUGCGUCAAAUCCCGACUUUUUGGAAGGGAUGUAUUUAUUAGAUAAAAAACCAACCCGGGCAACCGGUCCUUUGGUGAUUCAUGAUAACUUUGCGAAUCGCAUAGCUUUAAUGCUGGCGAUGGGUCAUUCAAAUUUCUGCCCUAUCAACUUUCGACGGUAGGAUAGAGGCCUACUGUGGUGAUAACGGGUAACGAAGAAUAAGGGUUCGAUUUCGGAGAGGGAGCCUGAGAAACGGCUACCACAUCCAAGGAAGGCAGCAGG
rnacentral:rRNA from 1 species